UACGUAGGUGGCAAGCGUUGUCCGGAUUUACUGGGCGUAAAGGGCGUGCAGGCGGUUUGUUAAGUGCAGGGUGAAAGCUCCCGGCUCAACUGGGAGAGGUCCUUGCAUACUGGCGAACUCGAGGGAGGCAGAGGAAGGUGGAAUUCCGGGUGUAGUGGUGAAAUGCGUAGAGAUCCGGAGGAACACCAGUGGCGAAGGCGGCCUUCUGGGCCUUUCCUGACGCUGAGACGCGAAAGCGUGGGGAGCGAACCGG
rnacentral:rRNA from 1 species